AGCGAACGCUGGCGGCAUGCUUAACACAUGCAAGUCGCGACGGGCAGCAAUGUCAGUGGCGGACGGGUGAGUAUCGCGUAGGAAUGUAUCCGUGAGGUGGGGGACAACCCUGGGAAACUGGGGCUAAUACCGCAUAUGGACUGAGGUCCAAAGGCCCGUGAGGCGCCUUGGGAGCAGCCUGCGUCCGAUUAGGUAGUUGGUGGGUAAAGGCCUACCAAGCCUGCGAUCGGUAGCUGGUCUGAGAGGACGAUCAGCCACACUGGGACUGAGACACGGGCCCAGACUCCUACGGGGAGGCAGCAGGUGGGGGAAUAUUGGACAAGUGGGCGCAAGCCUGAUCCAGCAAUGCCGCGU
rnacentral:rRNA from 1 species